CAGCAGUAGGGAAUUUUGCCCAAUGGGCGAAAGCCUGACGCAGCGACGCCGCGUGAGUGAUGAAGGCUUUCGGGUCGUAAAGCUCUGUCAGAGGGGAAGAACACACCUGUCGGUAAAUUCUUGUAGUACUGACGGUACCCUCAAAGGAAGCACCGGCUAACUACGUG
rnacentral:rRNA from 1 species